UACGUAGGGUGCGAGCGUUGUCCGGAAUUAUUGGGCGUAAAGAGCUCGUAGGCGGUCUGUCGCGUCGAUCGUGAAAACUUGGGGCUUAACCCUGAGCUUGCGGUCGAUACGGGCAUGACUGGAGUUCGGCAGGGGAGACUGGAAUUCCUGGUGUAGCGGUGAAAUGCGCAGAUAUCAGGAGGAACACCGAUGGCGAAGGCAGGUCUCUGGGCCACUACUGACGUGAGAAGCGAAAAGCAUGGGGGAGC
rnacentral:rRNA from 1 species